rnacentral:rRNA from 1 species
UACGAAGGGGGCUAGCGUUGUUCGGAAUUACUGGGCGUAAAGGGCGCGUAGGCGGUGUGUCAAGUCAGGCGUGAAAGCCCCGGGCUCAACCUGGGAAUAGCGCUUGAGACUGGCACGCUCGAGUUCGGGAGAGGAUGGUGGAAUUCCCAGUGUAGAGGUGGAAUGCGUAGAUAUCGGGAGGAACACCAGUGGCGAAGGCGGUUGCCUGGAGCUUUGCUGACGCUGAGGCGCGAAAGCGUGGGGAGCGAUCCGG